CGUCCAGGGUGCGCCCCGAACGGCAGAGGGCUGGGGAUCAUGGACUGUGGCUGACUCACUGUACAGACUUCCAGGCUUCCUUGUGAAACCCGGAGAAGGCAGACAAGCACCUCUGCAGCUUCCUGCAAAGCAAGAGUCUCAUCAUUCCAGCUAAGACUGCCAGGAUGGUGAUCCCAGCUCAAGCUCUGCUCAACAACAGGAGCUUGUUAAAUUAAGCCGACAUGGUGACAUUUUCAACCCCACCCCAAUGCAGAAUCACUACAGAAUCAUUGGUAGGUAUAUCAAGAAAGGCUUUGGGGUGAGGGGAGUGAGGGAGACAAAUCUUCUAUCUAAAAUGGCCACUGCUUGGGAAGAAAGUAUUUUCAAAGAAACAGCACCUCAUUAGCUCUCCUGGUCAUACAGUGACUGCAGUGCUGAAUGAUCCGAAAGAACAGGUAGGCCAUGGCAUCGUGACUUUUGUCCUGGAAUAGUAGUAUCUUCUUCACAAGUCAAGAAAAGUCUCUGUGUAAAUAUCACUUACAGCGUGAACAACAAAUGCACGUGGAGAGCCCUCUGAUGCACUGGUUGUACCUUUAUU